AAAACGACUCUCGGCAACGGAUAUCUCGGCUCUCACAUCGAUGAAGAACGUAGCGAAAUGCGAUACUUGGUGUGAAUUGCAGAAUCCCGUGAACCAUCGAGUCUUUGAACGCAAGUUGCGCCCUAAGCCUUCUGGCCGAGGGCACGUCUGCCUGGGCGUCACAAA
rnacentral:rRNA from 1 species